UAAAUAUAAUACAUUAUAAAUAAUAAGAUUAUAUUAUCUGUUAUGCAGCUUGGAUUUUUUUAAAUGAUAAAUCAGUAAAACCUGCAAUAGUGUUUUUUUGUUUGUUUGUUUUUUAAUCUCCAAUCUACUCUCAAGAUCAAAUUUGCUAGCAUAAAAGUAACACCAGUUUUUCAUUCACAUACUAAUAAUGCUUUGCUAAGCAGCUUAGAUAUUACAUCAGGCUGUUGACAGGCAUUCAUAGAAGAAAUGUGUAGACUAUCCAAGGAGCACCUUAUGUAGAUGUAAGA